rnacentral:rRNA from 1 species
GAUGAACGCUGGCGGUGUGCCUAAUACAUGCAAGUCGAGCGAACAGACGAGGAGCUUACUCCUCUGACGUUAGCGGCGGACGGGUGAGUAACACGUGGAUAACCUACCUAUAAGACUGGGAUAACUUCGGGAAACCGGAGCUAAUACCGGAUAACAUGUUGAACCGCAUGGUUCAACAGUGAAAGACGGUCUUGCUGUCACUUAUAGAUGGAUCCGCGUCGCAUUAGCUAGUUGGUAAGGUAACGGCUUACCAAGGCAACGAUGCGUAGCCGACCUGAGAGGGUGAUCGGCCACACUGGAACUGAGACACGGUCCAGACUCCUACGGGAGGCAGCAGUAGGGAAUCUUCCGCAAUGGGCGAAAGCCUGACGGAGCAACGCCGCGUGAGUGAAGAAGGUCUUCGGAUCGUAAAACUCUGUUAUUAGGGAAGAACAAAUGUGUAAGUAACUAUGCACGUCUUGACGGUACCUAAUCAGAAAGCCACGGCUAACUACGUG